UUACGGCCAUAUCACGUUGAAACAACGGUUCCCGUACGAUCGCCGAAGUUAAGCAACGUCGGCCUUGUCGGUACCUAGAUGGGUGAACUCUUGGGAAUACCAGGCGCUGUAA